CUGAAAAACGAAAGAGACUUGUCAUGGGAUGGGCUGGGGCAUUAGUAUGGUGGGGUAACGGCUCACCAAGGGACGAUGCGUAGCCGACUGAGAGGGUGAUCGGCCACACUGGGAUGAGACACGGCCCAGUUGGCAGCAGUAGGGAUCUCCGCAAUGGAAAGCGACGGAGCAAUGCCGCGUGAGUGAUGAAGGUUUUCGGAUCGUAAAGCUCUGUUGCCAGGGAAGAACGCUUGGGAGAGUAACUGCUCUCAAGGUGACGGUACCUGAGAAGAAAGCCCCGGCUAACUACGUGCCAGCAGCCGCGGUAAUACGUAGGCAAGCGUUGUCCGGAAUUAUUGGGCGUAAAGCGCGCGCAGGCGGUCAUUUAAGUCUGGUGUUUAAUCCCGGGGCUCAACCCCGGGGUGACUUGAGUGCAGAAGAGGAGAGU
rnacentral:rRNA from 1 species